CGUAAUCCGGGUUGCGGACAGUGUCUGGUGGGUAGUUUGACUGGGGCGGUCUCCUCCUAAAGAGUAACGGAGGAGCACGAAGGUUGGCUAAUCCUGGUCGGACAUCAGGAGGUUAGUGCAAUGGCAUAAGCCAGCUUGACUGCGAGCGUGACGGCGCGAGCAGGUGCGAAAGCAGGUCAUAGUGAUCCGGUGGUUCUGAAUGGAAGGGCCAUCGCUCAACGGAUAAAAGGUACUCCGGGGAUAACAGGCUGAUACCGCCCAAGAGUUCAUAUCGACGGCGGUGUUUGGCACCUCGAUGUCGGCUCAUCACAUCCUGGGGCUGAAGUAGGUCCCAAGGGUAUGGCUGUUCGCCAUUUAAAGUGGUACGCGAGCUGGGUUUAGAACGUCGUGAGACAGUUCGGUCCCUAUCUGCCGUGGGCGCUGGAGAACUGAGGGGGGCUGCUCCUAGUACGAGAGGACCGGAGUGGACGCAUCACUGGUGUUCGGGUUGUCAUGCCAAUGGCACUGCCCGGUAGCUAAAUGCGGAAGAGAUAAGUGCUGAAAGCAUCUAAGCACGAAACUUGCCCCGAGAUGAGUUCUCCCUGAGACUUUAGGUCUCCUGAAGGAACGUUGAAGACGACGACGUUGAUAGGCCGGGUGUGUAAGCGCAGCGAUGCGUUGAGCUAACCGGUACUAAUGAACCGUGAGGCUUAACCUUACAACGCCGAAG
rnacentral:rRNA from 1 species